rnacentral:rRNA from 1 species
GAUGAACGCUGGCGGCGUGCCUAAUACAUGCAAGUCGAGCGAACGGACGAGAAGCUUGCUUCUCUGAUGUUAGCGGCGGACGGGUGAGUAACGCGUGGAUAACCUACCUAUAAGACUGGGAUAACUUCGGGAAACCGGAGCUAAUACCGGAUGAUAUUUUGAACCGCAUGGUUCAAAAGUGAAAGACGGUCUUGCUGUCACUUAUAGAUGGAUCCGCGCUGCAUUAGCUAGUUGGUAAGGUAACGGCUUACCAAGGCAACGAUGCAUAGCCGACCUGAGAGGGUGAUCGGCCACACUGGAACUGAGACACGGUCCAGACUCCUACGGGAGGCAGCAGUAGGGAAUCUUCCGCAAAGGGCGAAAGCCUGACGGAGCAACGCCGCGUGAGUGAUGAAGGUCUUCGGAUCGUAAAACUCUGUUAUUAGGGAAGAACAUAUGUGUAAGUAACUGUGCACAUCUUGACGGUACCUAAUCAGAAAGCCACGGCUAACUACGUG